GUAAAAAAACGAGAGUUCUCUGAAAAGUACUCAAGUCUCUACAAGAGACUUGGGUCUCUAUCUAGUUGAAAAGAACUCGAGUUUAAAUUUAAACUUAAUUAUAAGAGUCUGAAAAUUGAGUAGAGUCUUCAAGCAGAGGACUGCAAGGACUCGAGUACUACCCAGCACUAUCCGAGCCGACCGGGACGUCCGAGCUGACUGUUCAUGACAAAUGUCAUAAUAAAUGUCAAUCAGAUUGAAAAAAAUAGUUCGAUCGGAAGCAAGCGGAUAUGGAAGGAAAUAAUAAAAUCAAAAUAUUGGCCCUGGCUGCCUUAAUGACUGAUGAAGAGGCUACUGCACAUUCUAGGUAAUGGGGCGUACAUCCACUUUGGUCGACACGUUCGGAAAAAUGAGAAUACACAGCAUGAUGUAAAGAGCUUUAUUUACAUAUGACCCAAGACUCUUUCGAAGCCGUUCACUGCAGAAUUAAACAACGUUUAACAAAAACAAAAACUCUGGCUCUCUGCUUAAGGUAAGAUAUGGAAAUACAAAGCAUGUACCUACUAAUAAAUAUGUAUAAUCAAGUGCCGAAACAUAUUAAGCUAUUAAGAGGAAAGGGAAUGACCGAUUCUCCAUACAAACAUAGUUCCCGUUUUCCUGACUGGAUAUUGAUAUUAUGGAAUAUUUAAGUAGCCUUCAGCAAACUGUAGUGAUACCCAAUGCAUUUUGCUACAUUCCACAAUUGUAGAUUUUUCAGCUUAUCGGGUUGUGACAUUAUUUUCUCCCAUCAAACCCACGUUCUUCAGUGUUCAUGUGUUCAGUUCAGAUUUGUUCAGUUCCAGGAACGCAUAAGAAACGAGUUUAAAAGAGAAGAAAUUUACAAUGGCUGCGAAAAUGUAACAAAAAUGUAAAGUAUCGAUAUAAGAUAAUUAUCUUCAAGCUGUUUUCGGCCACAGCGAAUACAGUACAGCACUACGAAUGUCGGUGGUACGCUCUUAAUAAAAUAAGCAGUUCAUAUUACCAGUGACGUGACUAUAUCAUCAUAUCAGCCUUUUAUCGCCCACUGCUGAGCAUAGGCCUCUCUUCGAGUACGCCACUUGUCCCGGUCCCGAGCCAAUCUCGUCCAGAAGUGACCCGCAGUCUUCCGGAUGUCAUCCACCCAACGAGCCAACGGACGCCAGGCACUCCUUUCGUCUGUAAGCGGCCACCAUUCCGUUAACAUUUUGGCCCACCUGCCAUCACUCUGCCUGGCAACUUGUCCCGCCCAGCUCCAUUAAAGUUUGGUAAUGACGUAUCCGACUUCUUGCAACUUGGUGCGACGUCGAAUCUCUACAUUCCUCACUCGAUCUUGAAGUUUGAUGCCGGGCAUGGCGCGCUCCAUGGCUCUUUGUGCCACUUAGAUUUUAUGCAUGACGUGACUAUAUAGGAAAAUAUAAAUAAAAAUAAA